rnacentral:rRNA from 1 species
ACGGGUAGCCCGACCUGAGAGGGUGAUCGGCCACACUGGGACUGAGACACGGCCCAGACUCCUACGGGAGGCAGCAGUGGGGAAUAUUGCACAAUGGGCGCAAGCCUGAUGCAGCGACGCCGCGUGAGGGAUGACGGCCUUCGGGUUGUAAACCUCUUUCACCAGGGACGAAGCGUGAGUGACGGUACCUGGAGAAGAAGCACCGGCCAACUACGUGCCAGCAGCCGCGGUAAUACGUAGGGUGCGAGCGUUGUCCGGAAUUACUGGGCGUAAAGAGCUCGUAGGCGGUUUGUCGCGUCGUCUGUGAAAUUCUGCAACUCAAUUGCAGGCGUGCAGGCGAUACGGGCAGACUUGAGUACUACAGGGGAGACUGGAAUUCCUGGUGUAGCGGUGAAAUGCGCAGAUAUCAGGAGGAACACCGGUGGCGAAGGCGGGUCUCUGGGUAGUAACUGACGCUGAGGAGCGAAAGCGUGGGUAGCGA